UAGUGAUAAUAAUAAGCCAUAUGCCUACCC
rnacentral:piRNA from 1 species